rnacentral:rRNA from 1 species
UUGACCUCGGAUCAGGUAGGGAUACCCGCUGAACUUAAGCAUAUCAAUAAGCGGAGGAAAAGAAACCAACAGGGAUUGCCUCAGUAACGGCGAGUGAAGCGGCAAGAGCUCAAAUUUGAAAGCUGGCUCCUUCGGGGUCCGCAUUGUAAUUUGCAGAGGAUGCUUCGGGAGUGGCCCCCAUCUAAGUGCCCUGGAACGGGCCGUCAUAGAGGGUGAGAAUCCCGUCUGGGAUGGGGUGUCCACGCCCGUGUGAAGCUCCUUCGACGAGUCGAGUUGUUUGGGAAUGCAGCUCUAAAUGGGUGGUAAAUUUCAUCUAAAGCUAAAUACUGGCCGGAGACCGAUAGCGCACAAGUAGAGUGAUCGAAAGAUGAAAAGCACUUUGAAAAGAGAGUUAAACAGCACGUGAAAUUGUUGAAAGGGAAGCGCUUGCGACCAGACUCGCCCACGGGGUUCAGCCGGCAUUCGUGCCGGUGUACUUCCCCGCGGGCGGGCCAGCGUCGGUUUGGGCGGCCGGUCAAAGGCCCUCGGAAUGUAACGCCCCCCGGGGCGUCUUAUAGCCGAGGGUGCCAUGCGGCCAGCCCGGACCGAGGAACGCGCUUCGGCUCGGACGCUGGCAUAAUGGUCGUAAGCGACCCGUCUUGAAACACGGACCAAGGAGUCUAACAUCUACGCGAGUGUUCGGGUGUCAAACCCGUGCGCGCAGUGAAAGCGAACGGAGGUGGGAACCCCUCGGGGUGCACCAUCGACCGAUCCUGAUGUCUUCGGAUGGAUUUGAGUAAGAGCGUAGCUGUUGGGACCCGAAAGAUGGUGAACUAUGCCUGAAUAGGGCGAAGCCAGAGGAAACUCUGGUGGAGGCUCGCAGCGGUUCUGACGUGCAAAUCGAUCGUCGAAUUUGGGUAUAG